ACCAGACUCCUACGGGAGGCAGCAGUGGGGAAUAUUGGGCAAUGGGCGCAAGCCUGACCCAGCAACGCCGCGUGAAGGAAGAAGGCUUUCGGGUUGUAAACUUCUUUUAAGAGGGAAGAGCAGAAGACGGUACCCCUUGAAUAAGCCACGGCUAACUACGUGCCAGCAGCCGCGGUAAUACGUAGGUGGCAAGCGUUGUCCGGAUUUACUGGGUGUAAAGGGCGUGCAGCCGGAGAGACAAGUCAGAUGUGAAAUCCGCAGGCUCAACCUGCGAACUGCAUUUGAAACUGUUUCCCUUGAGUAUCGGAGAGGUCAUCGGAAUUCCUAGUGUAGCGGUGAAAUGCGUAGAUAUUAGGAGGAACACCAGUGGCGAAGGCGGUCUGCUGGACAGCAACUGACGGUGAGGCGCGAAAGCGUGGGGAGCAAACAGGAUUAGAUACCCCGGUA
rnacentral:rRNA from 1 species